GGGGAUUUAGCUCAGUGGUAGAGCGCUUGCCUAGCAAGCAUAGGGCCCUGAGUUGGUCCCCA
rnacentral:tRNA from 1 species